rnacentral:rRNA from 1 species
GACGAACGCUGGCGGCGUGCCUAAUACAUGCAAGUAGAACGCAGUUGCGAACGGGUGAGUAACGCGUGGGUAACUGCCUGGUAGCGGGGGGUAACUAUUGGAAACGAUAGCUAAUACAGCAUACUACCAGAUGGACCUGCUUUGUAUUAGCUAGUUGGUGGGGUGACGGCUCACACAGGCAACGAUACAUAGCCGACCUGGGAGUGUGAUCGGCCACACUGGGACUGAGUAACGGCCCUGACUCCUACGGGAGGCAGACGUAGGGAAGCUUCGGCUAUUGACGGAAGUCUGACCGAGCAACGCCGCGUGAGUGAAGAAGGUGUUCGGAUCGUAAAGCUCUGUUGUAAGAGAAGCGGUAUCUUACCAGAAAGGGACGGCUAACUACGUGCCAGCAGCCGCGGUAAUAC